AAACCCCGAAACACGUCCCUUCACUUAUCCCCUUCUCCCUUCCUUCUCUCCACAAUCAGCACGCCCCACAACCUCGCUUCAUCUUCUUCCUUCCUUCUCUCCACAAUCACGCCAUAAUCUUGCUCCACAACCUCGUCGUCUCACCGGAUGACCACACCAUCUCCGCCCUUCUCCUCCUCGGCCGCCGCCCCUCUCUUUUCCCACCACCAUCACCGCCUCUCGUUACAUACUAUCAGAUCUGUCCAUCUUGUUAAUCGUCUUCUCACUCGCUGAUGAGAUCCGCUUACCCACGAAGUUGGUAUGUUUUCCCAAAACGCAGAACGAUUUGUCUCAUUCCCUCUAUAUUUUGUCGGCAAAUAGGUAAGUUCCCCGCGGUUCUCUUUCUCGUCGGCGGUUGUUGAUUAUAAGGUUCUUGCACAAGCGGGUGAUGACAGCAAGUGAGACGAUGUUGGGUGAUGAUAAGUUUGUAGUGUUUAUCACCGGGUCACUCUAACCUAACGAAAACCACGAGCAACACUAUCAUAAAUUCGGAAGCUUGUAGUGAAUUUUGAUAAGUUUGUUGUUGAUGCAUAAAUGUUUUUCUACGAUAUUUUUUUAGUGGAUUAACCAUAUAUUACGUUAAUUUUGUAGUGGAUUACUUUAACCUAAAGUGGAUUUUGAUAACUUUGUAGUGGAUUUUGAUAAUUUUGUAAUGGAUUACGUUAAUUCGUAGUGGAUUAUGUAAAAUUAUAUUCAAUUUCAUACUGAUUUCUACGUUAAUCGAAUAGUGGUUUUCGAUGAA